CAGCCCAGAAAGAGAAAGAAUUGCAACUUCCUGCAGGAGUUGAAGAGCCCAUAACCAGGGACAGAAAACCCCAGAAGAGAUGCUUCAGUGGAGGACAUGCUAACUGGGGAUGGUGUGGAGCUGGACAGUUAGGUUGCCGAAUUCGAGGUGCCCCAGGAUGUGACCUAUGCCAAGCUGUGCAGUAGGACACUGAGACAGGGGACAGCUGCACCUCCUCUCUCUCAGACAGAGGAAGCCCCAGAAGAGCCAACUGUAUAUGCUGCUCUAGCGACUGGUUUUCCGGGGACUGUUCCAAAGUACAAGGAGCAAUGACCCUCUGCCUGCCAGGAUGACUAACAGAGACCUCCAAGGGACUCUGGGAACUUUUGGAAACCUGA